rnacentral:lncRNA from 1 species
CUGGCAGGGAGUGUGCAAGUGCACACUUUGGGAAGAGAGUGGAUGAUUGGGAUGCAACCUAUCGUCCUCAGUAAAUAUGGGUGGGUCUUGUAGUCUUGACUAGCCCAGGUCAGAUGGUUGUUUGUCAGCUGAGUCACGUACCAGAUGUAAGCCGCACAAGUGUAGAAGUUGGACAAGAUGCUUCUAAACCGAACGGGGUGACUGGACCUGGUGGCACGGCAAACAGUGUUGAGGACCGUGAAGAGAAUGAGAGCUCCGAUGAAGGUGUGAGAAAAAGAAUCGUUCCUCCACCUCCUCCUCCUGCUGCUCCACAACAAAGGUCACGGAAGUUAGUUGGGCCAGCAGGUGGUAACCGAAGAAAGGCAGCAGCACCAAAACAGAAGAGGAGAUCACGGCCCUCUCGUCAUCAAUCCUGAAACGCCACAAAGACACACAAAGGCAAACAUUUAAUUUUAGUGAUUACGUAGAAAAAACCCAUGUUGUAUCUUAUUACUGUCUAUGCCAUAACAUGGACGUGUACAGAACCGUACGCACAUGAUGAAACUGUUUUGCUGUAUCUUGGGCUGUAAAACAAAGUCAGCAUGACAUGGCAUAUUGUUUACUUUAACACCUGUGGAACAACUCAGUGGUAGGUUCAACACAAACUCAUGGGCCUUUCUCUGUGAAUAAAAUAUACCAUUGCAUUUACCAUUUAAUGUGAUGACAUGACAACAGGCCCAAAAACACCAGUCUGAGACCAGUUCACGCAUCCAUUAAAAUCCAGGAUGAGGCAUGCUUUUUGCAGCAUCAUGACUUGACACUGACCUUAAGAGCCAAUGAAACUGCUCUAAAUUCACCAACCUGUUUCAAAAUGGAAAGGAUUUCACUCCCAUGAAAAUAAACUAAGCAACAACAAAAACAUCCUCUCACUGUCAACUGCGUUUAUUUUCAGCAAACUUAACAUGUGUAAAUAUUUGUAUGAACAUAACAAGAUUCAACAACUGAGACAUAAACUGAACAAGUUCCACAGACAUGUGACUAACA